rnacentral:lncRNA from 1 species
UUUACUUUAGUAUUUGUGGCAUGAUAAUGAAAUUGUAACGUUAAACUUGAGGAGGACAAUGUCAUUUUAUAAUUCCAUCAACAAACAUGGGACUCUUUUUAUGGAACAAAAAAAAUAAAACCAGAAAAUGGCUCCUUUUGUGGAAUGGGGGGAGUACCUUUUUUGUGCUAUGUUGAUUAAAAUUAGGCACUUGUACUACUUCAAUUUACAUGACAAGAUGCACGUGCACCCUGUAACACCCCCUUCUCGAAAAGAAAAGGAAAGGGAGGUCACAUGCAAAGCACAACAAACCUCAAUUAAGUAAAUAGAGCACUAAUAACUUCAAAAUAUUUAAUAAUGAUAUCCUUGCUAAAUACAAUUCUCCAAAUAUACUCAAAAUAAUCAAAAUCUAAAAUUGAAUCAAAUUAGAUGGUCAAAGGAAACUCUUUUAUCACACUAGCCCUGUAUCACCCCUGCAAACCUGUCAGAAGGAAAAAAACAGCAUGAGCCAAAUGCCCAUUACAGAUAUAAAUAUACAAAAGAUAUACAACUGAUAUACGAAAUCAACUGAGACAAAAUACUGAACAAAGCCUCAAGAUUAAAUACUGACGAAAUUAUAAUCUCCAAAGAUCUGAAUGGAAUAUAUCUAAAUUAACAAAAUUAACGAAACAAACAUAAGAGUAAAGAAAUAAUGAACUGAAAUAACUAACUUAAUUAAUUAAACUGAACAAAAAUAAACAACACUAAUACAAUGAAAUAAUAGGCUGAAUCAAAUGGCUGGGUGUUAUUUCAUACUGAUUGAGCUCAGAAAUAUACAUUACACAGACAAGUCAAAAUAAUGUCACACAUGUAAGUCAAAAUAAUGUCACACAGACAAAUCACACAUUGGAUCACGAAUCUAAAUGUAUGCAAAUCGGGUAGGUGUUUGGCACAACAUCACUAAUCCGUAGAACAGAAAACUAGGGUCAACCCAUAUGCCUCCCAGAAAAAAAUACCAAAUGACCCACUUCCUUCGGAGCCCAAACGUAGACACCGUGGACUAAUUACACCGCCACGGUAAGUGUCAUGCUUCGGUGCCGAGAGGACAUGUUUGUGGUACCCCCACAGGUGGUUAUAGUUCAGGUAUACUCUACGGUAUAUUCUAACAAAAAUACCAUGUCACAACCAGGGGCGAAGCUAGGGGUUAGCCAGUGGGGUCAAUUGCACCCACUGGAUUUUUUUUUUUUUUUUAAUAUAUGGUAAAUAGAUUUUUUUUU